ACCUAAAACAUGCAAGUCGAGCGGUAGCAAGGUAUGUAGCAUACAUACUGCUGACGAGCGGCGGACGGGUGAGUAAUACGUAAGAACCUACCCUCGAGUGGGGGACAACCAAAGGAAACUUUGGCUAAUACCGCAUAAACUCGAGAGAGCAAAGCUGCCGCAAGGUGGCGCUUGAGGAGGGGCCUGCGUCCGAUUAGCUAGUUGGUGAGGUAAAGGCUCACCAAGGCGAUGAUCGGUAACUGGUCUGAGAGGACGACCAGUCACACUGGGACUGAGACACGGCCCAGACUCCUACGGGAGGCAGCAGUGGGGAAUAUUGGACAAUGGGGGAAACCCUGAUCCAGCGAUGCCGCGUGAGUGAAGAAAGCCUUCGGGUCGUAAAGCUCUUUAGGUUGGGAAGAAGUGUGAUGGAGGAAAUGCUAUCAUGUUGACGGUACCGACAGAAUAAGCACCGGCAAACUCUGUGCCAGCAGCCGCGGUAAUACAGAGGGUGCAAGCGUUAAUCGGAGUUACUGGGCGUAAAGGGCGCGUAAGCGGUGAUAUGAGUGUGAUGUGAAAGCCCCGGGCUUAACCUGGGAAGUGCAUCGCAAACGAUAUUACUGGAGUAUAUGAGAGGGUGGCGGAAUUUCCGGUGUAGCGGUGAAAUGCGUANAGAUCGGAAGAGACGUCGAUGGCGAAAGCAGCCACCUGGCAUUAUACUGACGCUGAGGCGCGAUAGCGUGGGGAGCGAACAGGAUUAGAUUCCCUGGUUAUCCACGCUGUAAACAAUGAUAACUAAAUGUUGGUAAGGGAACCUAUUCUUAUCGAAGCAAACGCGAUAAGUUAUCCGCCGGGGAAUACGGCCCCCAGGUUGAAAUCAAGAGGAUUGAAGGGGG
rnacentral:rRNA from 1 species